CCUACGGGUGGCUGCAGUGGGGAAUAUUGGGCAAUGGGCGAAAGCCUGACCUAGCAACGCCGCGUGAAGGAAGAAGGCCCUCGGGUUGUAAACUUCUUUGAUCGGGGACGAACACAAUGACGGUACCCGAAGAACAAGCCACGGCUAACUACGUGCCAGCAGCCGCGGUAAUACGUAGGUGGCAAGCGUUAUCCGGAUUUACUGGGUGUAAAGGGCGUGUAGGCGGGUCGACAAGUUGGAUGUGAAAUGUACCGGCUCAACUGGUACGCUGCACCCAAAACUGUCGAUCUUGAGUGUUGGAGAGGAUAGUGGAAUUCCUAGUGUAGCGGUAAAAUGCGUAGAUAUUAGGAGGAACACCAGUGGCGAAGGCGGCUAUCUGGACAACAACUGACGCUGAGGCGCGAAAGCGUGGGGAGCAAACAGGAUUAGAUACCCUGGUAGUC
rnacentral:rRNA from 1 species